AUGGUUUUUGAGAGGAAGCAAAAUGGGAGUACUGGUGGAGAGAUUGAGAGAUAUGGUUCUAGAGAAGAAAGGUGGAGAUCUCCUCCUAGCUCUAACCGAGGCAAUGGUUAUGAUUAUGGUGAGUUCAGGGAUGAGCCUGCUUAUGGAAUGAGGAAGUCACGAUCAUCUGGGGAUGUGAGAGAGUCAACACAGGAGCGGAAAGAUGUGACUCCAUUAAGAGAGAUGAACCCUGCCUGCUUAUGGAAUGAGAAAGUCGCGAUCAUCUGGGGAUGUGAGAGAGUCAACACAGGAGCGGAAGGAUGUGACCCCAUUAAGAGAGAUGAACCCUGAGAAGAUCUUUGGGAAGAUGACUCAUUUGCAGCGGUUGUUGGAUCGGUUUUUGUCUUGUCGACCAACUGGAUUGGCGAAAAAUGAAAGGAUGGUAUUGGUUGCUUUGUAUCCUAUGGUGAAA
rnacentral:lncRNA from 1 species